rnacentral:rRNA from 1 species
AUUGAACGCUGGCGGCAGGCCUAACACAUGCAAGUCGAACGGUAACAGGAAGAAGCUUGCUUCUUUGCUGACGAGUGGCGGACGGGUGAGUAAUGUCUGGGAAACUGCCUGAUGGAGGGGGAUAACUACUGGAAACGGUAGCUAAUACCGCAUAACGUCGCAAGACCAAAGAGGGGGACCUUCGGGCCUCUGGCCAUCGGAUGUGCCCAGAUGGGAUUAGCUAGUAGGUGGGGUAACGGCUCACCUAGGCGACGAUCCCUAGCUGGUCUGAGAGGAUGACCAGCCACACUGGAACUGAGACACGGUCCAGACUCCUACGGGAGGCAGCAGUGGGGAAUAUUGCACAAUGGGCGCAAGCCUGAUGCAGCCAUGCCGCGUGUAUGAAGAAGGCCUUCGGGUUGUAAAGUACUUUCAGCGGGGAGGAAGGGAGUAAAGUUAAUACCUUUACUCAUUGACGUUACCCGCAGAAGAAGCACCGGCUAACUCCGUG